GGGGAGUGAUGGGGGAAAGCCCAUGGGGAGAAGGGAGGCCUGGCGUCAGCUGGGCAUGGAGAAGGGGAAUUCACCCACCUGGAUGCCAGAAGAUGGUGAUUUACAGAUUGAAAAACCUGAGGCUGGUGACCCAAAGGAAUUCCAAGAAAUGGAGGAAAGAGAUCCUCAGGAACUAGUUGCUUCUUUUUCAGAGAGUGUGGAACAUGUCUUCAGAUAAGAUCAAAAUCCCUCCUGAGCCUCUUGGCAGAUGUUCUAGCUAAUUGCAGGAUAAAAUUAAAAAGCUGUACGAGAGGAAAAUGAAAGAGGGCAUGGAUAGAACUACAUCAUCCAGAACAAAAAGGAAUUUCACAACCCCAGCGUCUAUGAAAAGCUGAUCCAGUUUUGUUCCAUUGAUGAAAUUGGUACAAAUUGCCCAAAGGACAAGUUUGAUCCUCAUAGCAGGUCAGAGGAUUCAUAUUGUGAGGCACUAGCUAAAGCCCAGAAGACUGAGAUGGACAAAUUGAAGAAGGCCAAGAAAGACAGUACAAAGAUUGAAUUUGUGACUGGCACUAAAAAGGGUACAGCAAGAAGCGCUGGUUCCACAACCACCACAACAUCCAGCACCACUGUGGGAGAUGCCCAGAAGAAGCGGAGGAGGAACAAGUGACACAUGUUGAU